rnacentral:rRNA from 1 species
GCCGCGGUGAAUACGUUCCCGGGUCUUGUACACACCGCCCGUCACACCAUGGGAGUCGGAAAUGCCCGAAGUCUGUGACCCAACCAUUAAGGAGGGAGCAGCCGAAGGCAGGUCGGAUGACUGGGGGUGAAGUCGUAACAAGGUAGC